GAUGAACGCUGGCGGCGUGCUUAACACAUGCAAGUCGAACGGUGAACGAGGGAGCUUGCUCCCUCCGGAUCAGUGGCGAACGGGUGAGUAACACGUGAGCAAUCUGCCCUGGACUCUGGGAUAAGCGUUGGAAACAACGUCUAAUACCGGAUACGAGACGCGAAGGCAUCUUCAGCGUCUGGAAAGAACUUCGGUCCAGGAUGAGCUCGCGGCCUAUCAGGUAGUUGGUGAGGUAACGGCUCACCAAGCCUACGACGGGUAGCCGGCCUGAGAGGGUGACCGGCCACACUGGGACUGAGACACGGCCCAGACUCCUACGGGAGGCAGCAGUGGGGAAUAUUGCACAAUGGGCGCAAGCCUGAUGCAGCAACGCCGCGUGAGGGACGACGGCCUUCGGGUUGUAAACCUCUUUUAGCAGGGAAGAAGCGAAAGUGACGGGACCUGCAGAAAAAGCACCGGCUAACUACGUGCCAGCCGCCGCGGUAAAAC
rnacentral:rRNA from 1 species